CAGUAGCCGCGGUAAUACGAGGGGAGCUAGCGUUGUUCGGAAUUACUGGGCGUAAAGCGCGCGUAGGCGGCUUUUUAAGUCAGAGGUGAAAGCCCGGGGCUCAACCCCGGAAUUGCCUUUGAAACUGGAAAGCUAGAAUCUUGGAGAGGUCAGUGGAAUUCCGAGUGUAGAGGUGAAAUUCGUAGAUAUUCGGAAGAACACCAGUGGCGAAGGCGACUGACUGGACAAGUAUUGACGCUGAGGUGCGGAAGCGUGGGGAGCAAACAGGAUUAGAUACCCGUGUAGUCCCUGUCUCUUAUAC
rnacentral:rRNA from 1 species